rnacentral:rRNA from 1 species
AGUGCAAUUGGUGGAUGCCUUGGUGCCAAGAGGCGAUGAAGGACGUAGCAAGCUGCGAUAAGCCACGGUUAGCCGCAAGCAGGCUUUGACCCGUGGAUUUCCCAAUGGGACAACCCGUCUACCCCUCAAAGGUAGUCAUCUGCAGAUGAAUGAAUAGUCUGUAGAAGCAAUACGGGGUGAAGUGAAACAUCUCAGUACCCCCAGGAAAAGAAAAUGAAAUGAUUCCGUAAGUAGUGGCGAGCGAAAGCGGAGGAGCCCAAACCAGAGAAACUUGUUUCUCUGGGGUUGUGGGACCCUAAUAUGGGACCGUAAAGGUGAGCGUAAUGUUCUGGAAAGUUCAACCAGAGACCGUGACAGUCGGGUGCGCGAAGCUGGAAUGGCCCUAGGGGUAUCCCAAGUAAUGCGGAACACGUGAAACUCUGCAUGAAUCUGUCCAGACCACUGGAUAAGGCUAAAUACUACUUGGCAACCGAUAGUGAACUAGUACCGUGAGGGAAAGGUGAAAAGAACCCCUGUUAGGGGAGUGAAAUAGUACCUGAAACCAAUUGCAUACAAAGUGUUGGAGUUCGGCUUCGGCCGGAUGACAGCGUGCCUUUUGCAUAAUGAGUCUGCGAGUUAUUGUCUGUGGCGAGCCUAAGUUUCUCUGAAAUGGAGGCGAAGCGAAAGCGAGUGUGAAAUGCGCGUUUAGUGGCAGGCAAUAGACCCGAAGCGGAGGUGAUCUACUCAUGAGCAGGUUGAAGCUGCGGUAACACGCAGUGAAGGACCGAACCGGUGUAUGUUGAAAAAUGCUCGGAUGACUUGUGAGUAGGAGCGAAAGACUAAUCAAACCCCGUAAUAGCUGGUUCUCUCCGAAAUAGCUUGAGGGCUAGCGUCGAAUAAGUACUCCAAGGAGGUAGAGCGCUGGAUGGACUAGGGCCCAUACCCGGGUACCAAAACCAAUCAAACUCCGAAUGCCUUGGAUCCCAUUAUUUCGGCAGUCAGUCGGCGAGGGAUAAGCUUCGUCGGCGCGAGGGAAACAUCCCAGACCGCCAGCUAAGGUGCCUAAAUAUGAUUAAGUGGAAAGGAUGUGACGUUGCUUAGACAGUGAGGAUGUUGGCUUAGAGGCAGCCACCAUUUAAACAAUGCGUAAUAGCUGACUCAUCGAGCGAUGUUGCGCCGAAAAUGAUUGGCGAUUAAAUCAUAUACCGAAGCUGCGGAUUUGCAGGGGAUUCGUCCCCUGCAAGUGGUAGGAGAGCGUAAUCAACGCUGUGAAGCUCGACGGAAACGGAAAGUGGAGCGUUGAUUAGUGAGAAUGCAGACAUGAGUAGCGAUUAGCCAGAUGAGAAUUCUGGCCGCCGUAUACCCAAGGUUUCCUGGGCCAGGUUCGUCCUCCCAGGGUUAGUCGGGACCUAAGGCGAGGCCGUAAGGCGUAGUCGAUGGACAGCAGUUAAAUAUUCCUGCACCGGCUUGGGGUUAGUUGACAGUGACGGGGUGAGAAAGGUGGCUAAGUCAUCGAAAGACAGAGCUUAGACUUCGGUCGAAGCGUACCACUGGACGAUCCUCCGAGAAAAGCUAGUUAACAUGUGCCCCUGGUCGCCCGUACCGCAAACCGACACAGGUGGGUGAGUCGAAUAGACUAAGGCGCGCGAGAGAAACCACUCUAAGGAACUCGGCAAAAUAGCCCCGUAACUUCGGGAGAAGGGGUGCCUACUUCGGUAGGCCACAGUAAAUUGGGUCUGGCGACUGUUUAACAAAAACACAGCACUCUGCUAAGUCGUGAAGACGACGUAUAGGGUGUGACACGUGACCAAUGCCAAAAGAUUAAGGUGACUUGUUAGCCGUAAGGCGAAGCUCGGAGCCGAAGUCCUGGUGAAUGUCGGCCGUAACUAUAACGGUCCUAAGGUAGCGAAAUUCCUUGUCGGGUAAGUUCCGACCUGCACGAAUCGUGUAACGACCGGACCGCUGUCUCGGAGUGGUUCUCGGCGAAAUUGUAGUGGCGGUGAAGAUGCCGCCUGCCCGCAGUAGGACGGAAAGACCCUAUGCACCUUUACUAUAAGCUGGUAUUGGGUUCUGAUUUUUAAUGCGUAGCAUAGGUGGGAGACGUUGAAUUGGCAGUUUCGGUUGCCAAGGAGUCAUCAGUGAAAUACCACUCUUUAUUGAUUAGGAUUCUAACCCCAACCCUGUUAGCCAGGUGGGGGACAGUGCCUGCGGGUUAGUUUGACUGGGGCGGUUUCCUCCUAAAAAGUAACGGAGGAGUGCGAAGGUACUCUCAGUACGGUUGGCAACCGUGCGUCGAGCAUAUUGGUAGAAGAGUGC